rnacentral:tRNA from 1 species
GCGCCCAUAGCUUAAUGGAUAAAGUCCCUGACUACGGAUCAGGUGAUGCGGGUUCGACUCCUGCUGGGCGUACCA